GACGGAAGGUGCAAGCGUUGCUCGGAAUCACUGGGCGUAGAGGGUGCGUAGGCGGCUUGGUGGGUCUGGUGUGAAAGCCCCGGGCUCAGCCCGGGAAGGGCGCUAGAAACUGCCGAGCUCGAGUGCCGGAGGGGAGAGUGGAAUUCCUGGUGUAGCGGUGAAAUGCGUAGAUAUCAGGAGGAAUACCGGUGGCGAAAGCGACUCUCUGGACGGCAACUGACGCUGAGGCACGAAAGCGUGGGGAGCAAACAGG
rnacentral:rRNA from 1 species